GUGGGGAAUCAUGCGCAAUGGGCGAAAGCCUGACGCAGCCAUGCCGCGUGAAUGAUGAAGGUCUUAGGAUUGUAAAAUUCUUUCACCGGGGACGAUAAUGACGGUACCCGGAGAAGAAGCCCCGGCUAACUUCGUGCCAGCAGCCGCGGUAAUACGAAGGGGGCUAGCGUUGCUCGGAAUUACUGGGCGUAAAGGGCGCGUAGGCGGACAGUUUAGUCAGAGGUGAAAGCCCAGGGCUCAACCUUGGAAUUGCCUUUGAUACUGGCUGUCUUGAGUACGGGAGAGGUGAGUGGAACUCCGAGUGUAGAGGGGAAAUUCGUAGAUAGUCGGAAGAACACCAGUGGCGAAGGCGACUCACUGGCCCGUUACUGACGCUGAGGCGCGAAAGCGUGGGGAGCAAACAGGAUUAGAAACCCUUGUAGUCC
rnacentral:rRNA from 1 species